rnacentral:rRNA from 1 species
AUUGAACGCUGGCGGCAGGCUUAACACAUGCAAGUCGAGCGGGGUGAUGGUGCUUGCACUAUCACUUAGCGGCGGACGGGUGAGUAAUGCUUAGGAAUCUGCCUAUUAGUGGGGGACAACAUCUCGAAAGGGAUGCUAAUACCGCAUACGUCCUACGGGAGAAAGCAGGGGAUCACUUGUGACCUUGCGGUAAUAGAUGAGCCUAAGUCGGAUUAGCUAGUUGGUGGGGUAAAGGCCUACCAAGGCGACGAUCUGUAGCGGGUCUGAGAGGAGGAUCCGCCACACUGGGACUGAGACACGGCCCAGACUCCUACGGGAGGCAGCAGUGGGGAAUAUUGGACAAUGGGGGGAACCCUGAUCCAGCCAUGCCGCGUGUGUGAAGAAGGCCUUACGGUUGUAAAGCACUUUAAGCGAGGAGGAGGCUCUUUUGGUUAAUACCCAAGAUGAGUGGACGUUACUCGCAGAAUAAGCACCGGCUAACUCUGUGCCAGCAGCCGCAGUAACAC